GGGCCUGUGGUCUAGUGGCUAUGAUAUCGCCCUUACAAGGCGCAGAUCCCCGGUUCGAGUCCGGGCAGGCCCA
rnacentral:tRNA from 1 species